rnacentral:rRNA from 1 species
GACGAACGCUGGCGGCGUGCCUAAUACAUGCAAGUAGGACGCAGUUGCGAACGGGUGGGUAACGCGUCGGUCACUACCUAUGAGAGGGGGAUAACUAUUGGAAACGAUAGCUAAUACCGCAUACUAGUAGAUGGACCUGCGUUGUAUUAGAUAGUAGGUAGGGUAAUGGCCUACCUAGCCAACGAUUCAUAACCGACCGUGGGUGGUGAACGGCCAAAAUGGGACUGAGAAACGGCCCCGACUCCUACGGGAGGGAGCAGGAGGGAAUCUUCGGCAAAGGGGGGAAACCUGACCGAGCAACGCCGCGUGAGUGAAGAAGGUUUUCGGAUCGUAAAGCUCUGUUGUUCAGGAAGCGGUACUUAACCAGAAAGCGACGGCUAACUACGUGCCAGCCGCCGCGGUAAUUC